CCGUACACGAUGAGUGCUAGCUGUUGGGUGGUUUACCAUUCGGUGGCGCAACUAACACAAUAGACUCUCCGGGGGGGGAGGGGGGGCGCGAGAUUAAAACUCAAAAGUAUUGGCGGGGGCCCGCACCAGCGGAGGAGCAUGUUUUUUUUUUCGAUACCCCGCGAAAAAUCUUACCCCCUCUUGAUAUGUAUAAGAAGAUAUCAGAUAUGGUAUUUUCUUUUCAGACACCUUUACA
rnacentral:rRNA from 1 species